rnacentral:lncRNA from 1 species
AAAAACCAGACCAAGACACGCCCCCACCUUAAGCUCCUACUUUGAUAGAAUCAGAACCUAUUUUGUAUCUCCUAUCACAGGGUGAGGCUGAAACCAACAUCGAGUCUAAAUAACAACAAAAGAACUACAAUAGAGAGAGCAAAGGUAACCAACUAUCAAACCCGAACUGCCGUCCAGUAAGCUUGAUUAAGAACCACACAACGAUCGGGCAUCUGGAAAUGGAAGAGAAUAACGAUAAGCACCGGAAGGUCUAGAUGGAAGAUAAAUUGUAUUAGAAGAAAUACUAUACUAACUCCCUCUGCCACCCUCGAAAAACAUAUCAUGACCAUCAAAGGAUUGAUUGUGUGCAAUAACUGACUAAGAUUAGCCCUACCUUAAGCCCUACUUUGAUAAAAUUAAAACUUAAUUUUUAUCUCAUGUCAUAGGGUGGGGCAGAAAACAAUAUCACGUCUAUGUACAAACAAAAAUUGUUGAAAUGACAAAAGAUAACCAAACAUCAAACCAGAAGUGUCAUCCAGUUAAGAACCACCCCACGAUCAGACAUCUGGAAAUUGAAGAGUAUAUCUAUAAGCACGGGAAACUCUAGGUAGAAGAGAAAAUGUAUAGAAAUAAAAAUACUAUUAUGUACUCCCUUUGCCACCCUCGAUUAACACAAUAUCAAUGACUCAUCAAAGAUCUGUCCGCGUCCAAAAACCAGACCAAGAUAGCCCCCACAUUAAGCUCCUACAGUGAUGGAAUCAAAACCUAUUUUGUAUCUCCUGUCACAGGGUAGGCCCAAAACAAUAUCCAAGUCUAUAUAACAACAAAAGAAUAUAAUAGAGAGAUCAAAUGCAACCAAUUAUGAACCCAGAACUGCCUUCCAGUUAAGCUUGAUUAAGAACCAAACAACGAUCAGGCAUCUGGAAAUCGAAGAGAAUAACAAUAAGCACGGGAAAGUCAAGAUGGAAGAUAAAUUGUAGCAGAAUUAAUACAAUACUAUACUCCCUCUGACACCCUCGAUAAACAUUAUAUCAGUGACAGCAUCAAAAGUUGAUGUCUCCAGUAACUAGACCAAGAUUAGCCCCACCAUAAGCUGCUUCUUUCACAACUUAAUUUUUAACUCCUGUCACAAGGUGAGGCAGAAAACAAUAUCCACGUCUACGUAACAAAUAAAAGAUUGUUGAAACUGACAAAAGAUAACCAAGCAUACCAGAAGUGCCUUCCAGUUAAGAACCACACAACAAUCAGACAUCUGGAAAUUGAAGAGUAUAACUAUUAGCACGGGAAACUCUAGGUAGAAGAGAAAAUGUAGGUAGAAAAAAAAUACUAUUAGUACUCCCUUUACCACCCACUAUUAACACUAUAUCAAUGACAGCAUGAAGGAUUUGUCAGUGUCCAAAAACCAGACCAAGACAGCCCCCACCUUAAGCUCCUACUUGAUAGAAUCAGAACCUAUUUUGUAUCUCCUAUCACAGGGUGAGGCUGAAACCAACAUCCGAGUCUAAAUAACAACAAAAGAACUACAAUAGAGAGAGCAAAGGUAACCAACUAUCAAACCCGAACUGCCGUCCAGUUAAGCUUGAUUAAGAACCACACAACGAUCGGGCAUCUGGAAAUGAAGAGAAUAACGAUAAGCACCGGAAGGUCUAGAUGGAAGAUAAAUUGUAUAGAAGAAAUACUAUACUAUACUCCCUCUGCCACCCUCGAUAAACACACUAUAUAGUGACCACGUCAAAGGAUUGACUUGUGUGCAAUAACUUGACUAAGAUUAGCCCUACCUUAAGCUCCUACUUGAUAAAAUUAAAACUUAAUUUUUAUCUCAUGUCAUAGGGUGGGGCAGAAAACAAUAUCCACGUCUAUGUAGCAAACAAAAUUGUUGAACUGACAAAAGAUAACCAAACAUCAAACAGAAGUGUCUCCAGUUAAGAACCACCCCACGAUCAGACAUCUGGAAAUUGAAGAGUAUAUCUAUAAGCACGGGAAACUCGAGGUAGAAGAGAAAAUGUAGUAGAAUAAAAAUACUAUUAUGUACUCCCUUUGCCACCCUCGAUUAACACAAUAUCAAUGACUACAUCAAAGAUCUGUCGCGUCCAAAAACCAGACCAAGAUAGCCCCCACAUUAAGCUCCUACAGUGAUGGAAUCAAAACCUAUUUUGUAUCUCCUGUCACAGGGUAGGCUCAAAACAAUAUCCAAGUCUAUAUAACAACAAAAGAAAUAUAAUAGAGAGAUCAAAUGCAACCAAUUAUGAACCCAGAACUGCCUUCCAGUUAAGCUUGAUUAAGAACCAAACAACGAUCAGGCAUCUGGAAAUCGAAGAGAAUAACAAUAAGCACGGGAAAGUCAAGAUGGAAGAUAAAUUGUAGCAGAAUUAAUACAAUACUAUACUCCCUCUGACACCCUCGAUAAACAUUAUAUCAGUGACAGCAUCAAAAGUUGAUAGUCUCCAUAACUAGACCAAGAUUAGCCCCACCAUAAGUGCUUCUUUCACAACUUAAUUUUUAACCCCUGUCACAAGGUGAGGCAGAAAACAAUAUCCACGUCUACGUAACAAAUAAAAGAUUGUUGAAACUGACAAAAGAUAACCAAGCAUACCAGAAGUGCCUUCCAGUUAAGAACCACACAACAUCAGACAUCUGGAAAUUGAAGAGUAUAUCUAUAGCACGGGAAAUUCUAGGUAGAAGAGAAAAUGUAGUAGAAAAAAAAUACUAUUAUGUACUCCCUUUCCACCCCGAUUAAACAUAUCAAUGACCAUAAGAUUGUCGGUCCAAAAACCAGACCAAGACAGCCCCCACCUUAAGCUCCUACUUUGAUAGAAUCAGAACCUAUUUUGUAUCUCCUAUCACAGGGUGAGGCUGAAACCAACAUCGAGUCUAAAUAACAACAAAAGAACUACAAUAGAGAAAGCAAAGGUAACCAACUAUCAAACCCGAACUGCCGUCCAGUUAAGCUUGAUUAAGAACCACACAACGAUCGGGCAUCUGGAAAUGGAAGAGAAUAACGAUAAGCACCGGAAGGUCUAGAUGGAAGAUAAAUUGUAUUAGAAGAAAUACUAUCUAUACUCCCUCUGCCACCCUCGAUAAACACACUAUAUCAGUGACCACGUCAAAGGAUUGACUUGUGUGCAAUAACUUGACUAAGAUUAGCCCUACUUAAGCUCCUACUUUGAUAAAAUUAAAACUUAAUUUUUAUCUCAUGUCAUAGGGUGGGGCAGAAAACAAUAUCCACGUCUAUGUACAAACAAAAUUGUUGAAAUGACAAAAGAUAACCAAACAUCAAACCAGAAGUGUCUCCAGUUAAGAACCACCCAGAUCAGACAUACUGGAAAUUGAAGGUAUAUCUAUAAGACACGGAAAUUGGUAGAAGAGAAAAUUAAGUAGAAUAAAAACUAUUAUGUACUCCCUUUGCCACCCUCGAUUAACACAAUAUCAAUGACUCAUCAAAGAUCUGUCCGCGUACCAAAAACCAGACCAAGAUACCCCACAUUAAGCUCCUACAGUGAUGGAAUCAAAACCUAUUUUGUAUCUCCUGUCACAGGGUAGGCCCAAAACAAUAUCCAAGUCUAUAUAACAACAAAAGAUAUAUAAUAGAGAGAUCAAAUGCAACCAAUUAUGAACCCAGAACUGCCUUCCAGUUAAGCUUGAUUAAGAACCAAACAACGAUCAGGCAUCUGGAAAUCGAAGAGAAUAACAAUAAGCACGGGAAAGUCAAGAUGGAAGAUAAAUUAUAGCAGAAUUAAUACAAUACUAUACUCCCUCUGACACCCUCGAUAAACAUUAUAUCAGUGACAGCAUCAAAAGUUGAUAGUCUCCAUAACUAGACCAAGAUUAGCCCCACCAUAAGUGCUUCUUUCACAACUUAAUUUUUAACCCCUGUCACAAGGUGAGGCAGAAAACAAUAUCCACGUCUACGUAACAAAUAAAAGAUUGUUGAAACUGACAAAAGAUAACCAAGCAUACCAGAAGUGCCUUCCAGUUAAGAACCACCCCACAUCAGACAUCUGGAAAUUGAAGAGUAAAAUUAUAAGCACGGGAAACUCUAGCUAGAAGAGAAAAUGUAGUAGGAAAAAAUAACUAUUAUGUACUCCCUUUGCAACCCUCGAUUAACAACAUAUUAAUUGACAAUAUCAAAGAUUUUUCCGUGUCCAAAAACCAGACCAAGAUAGCCCCCACAUUAAGCUCCUAUUGCGAUGGUAUCAAAACCUAUUUUGUAUCUCCUGUCAUAGGGUGAGGGCCAAAUCAAUAUCCAAGUCUACAUAACAACAAAAUAACUAUAAUAGAAAGAGCAAGGGUAACCAAUUAUCAAACCAGAACUGCCUUCCAUUUAAGCUUGAUUAAAAACCACACAACAAUCAAGCAUCUGGAAAUUGAAGAGAAUAAAGAUAAGUAUGAGAAAGUCUAGGUGGAAGAUAAAUUUUAGUAGAAAAAAUUACUAUAAAAUACUCCCUCUGCUACCCUGGAUAAAACCUAUAUCAGAGACAGCGUGAAAGGUUUGAUCUGUGUCCAAUAACUUGACCAAGAUUAGCCCCACCUUAUGCUCCCUACUUUGAUAAAAUCAAAACUUAAAUUUUAUCUCCUGCCAUAGGAUGAGGAGAAAACAAUAUCCACGUCUACGUAGCAAACAAAAAACUGAUGAAAAAGAGAACCAAGCAUCAAACCAGAAGUGUCUUCAAGUUAAGAACCACACAACGACCAGACACCUGGGAUUGAAGAGUAUAACGAUGGAGAGUAUAACGAUAAGAACCAGAAACUCUGGGUAGAAUAGAAUAUGUAGAAGAUAAAAUACUAUUCUGUUCUCCAUCUGCCUCCCUCAAUAAACACUAUAUCAAUGCCGGCAUCAUAGAUUAGUCCAUGUCCAAAAACCCAACCAAGAUAGCCCCAACUUAGAGCUCCUACUUUGAUAGAAUUAAAACCUAUUUUGUAUCUCCUGUAACAGGGUGAGGCCCAAAACAAUAUCCAAGUCAACAUAACAACACAAAAACUACAUUUACAGAGCAAACGUAACCAAUUAUCAAACCAGCCUUCCCGUGAAGCUUGAUUAAGAACCACACAGAGAUCAGGCAUCUGCAAAUUGAUGAGAACAACAGUAAGCACGCGAUAGUCUAGGGAGAAGAUAAAAUGUUGUAAAAAAAAAUACUAUUCGAUACUCCCUCUGCCACACUCGAUAUUAACAGCGUCAAAGGUUUAUCUUCCGAUAACCAGAUUAGCCCCACCUUAAGCUCCUUCUUUUAAUACUUAAUUUUUAUCUCCUGUCAUAGGGUGAGGCAGAAAACAAUAUCCACGUCUACGUAACAAACAAAAAAUUGUUGAAACUGACAAAAGAUAACCAAGCAUCAAACCAGAAGUGCCUUCCAGUUAAGAACCACUGAACCACACAACGAAUCAUCAGACAUCUGGAGAUUGAAGAGUAUAACUAUAAGCACGGGAAACUUUAGGUAGAAGAGAAAAUGUAGUAGAAAAAAAAUACUACUCCAUGUACUCUUCCUAUUGCCACCCUUGAUUAACAAUAUACCAAUGACAGCAUCAAAGAUUUUUCCGUGCCAAAAACCAGACCAAGAUAGCCCCCACAUUAAGCUCCUAUUGUGAUAGAAUCAAAACCUAUUUUGUAUCUCCUGUCACAGAGUGAGGCCCAAAACAAUAUCGAGUCUACAUAACAACAAAAGAACUAAAAUAAAGAGAGCAAAGGUAACCAAUUAUCAAACCAGAACAGCCUUCCAGUGAAGCUAGAUUAAGAAGCUCAGAGCGAUCAAGCAUCUGAAAAUUGAUGAGAACGGUAAGCAAGGGCAAGUCUAGGUAGAGGAUAAAAUGUUGUAAAAAAAUUACUAUACUAUACUUCCUCUGCAACCCUUGAUAAAAACACAAUAUCAAUUUGUCAGCGUCAAAUGUUGGUCCGUGGCCAACAACCAGACCAAGAUUAGCACCACCAUAAGUUCCUAAUUUGAUAGAAUCAAAACAUAAUUUUUAUCUCCUGUCAUAGGGUGAGGCAGAAAACAUAAAUUCAUCAUGAUGAUCUUGAGGCUCCUCACCAGCGAUUAAUCUGUGGCCAGAGAAGAGAACAAUUGAGUAAAUUCAUAACUAUCAGCGUUUCCACCAACUGCCGAUAACCAUCAAACUAUCAGCGCGAAAGGAAAAGGACAAAAUAAACCUUCUGGCUUGAGAGAUCACGAGCUAUCCAAUCGGUUGCCCUACAGAUACAAACGAAAGUAAGCCCCGAUAACCAAUACGGCAGAGGAAAUCAUGAUCUAAAUAGACCGUCAAAACUUGAACUAUAAAAUCUGCACUCGUUGCGAAUAACUGAAUAUUAACCCAAAUCAGCAGAAGGAAUCACAAUAACCGAUCUACACAAAUCAAAUACGUCAAAGUAGAUUGAACAGAAAUCCUCCGCUAGGUCAUCUAUCCUCGCCGCCAUAUGUCAUACCAGACAGGGAAGGCUAAUGGAAAUCGCAACACAAGGAGAGAGUAACCCGAUCGAAAACACAAAACUUAAUCGCCAACGAAAUCGCACCACAAAACACAAUAACCCUAGAUAUGAAUUCAGGAGAAGAGGGCCACAAUAGAAGAAAAAUAAUAGCGAAACACGCAAAGAGGGGGGAUGGGUAGGAGAAUGUGGGGAGAUAUGGUAUAUAUAGUGAGUCAUAGAGAGACUUG